CUUCUGAGACAAAUUUUUGGAGUAAAUACACCUCGCCUUCCGAAAACCUCGCAUACAGGGACAAUCGCAUUCCGAGGUACCACUGUACAUGUAAAUUUAUAUAUGCCUUUUUUGUUAUUCAUAAGACAAACUAUUAAUUAUGAUAUGUAGGGAGGGGUUGUAGCAGUGUAGGUUGACAUGUCUUAAGAAUAGAAUGUCGAUUAGGCCUUGGCAUUCUUGAUAAUGUUUAGUAAAGAUGAAUGAUGUUGCUAAUAUUUUUUUGACUUCAUAAAUACAUAAUUUAAUAAGAUUAAUUAAGUACAGUUUGCUUCCAAAACUGUGAUGAAACUUCUCAGAGCAUUGGGUUAUGAAGACCAAUGAUUAUAUUCUUGACACCUGAUCAUAUUAAUGUAGCAAAAUAGGUUUCAUUUUUUUUGUAGUUUAUCUCAACAAUGUCGAAUCUCAACAGGAAGAUCUUCAUGAGGCAUUCUACUAGUUUCAGUAAAGGAGUGGCAAAUUUCUGCACGAGGGACACCAUAAUGAAAGCUUAACGCAUAAGUUUCUUCAGUAAAGGAUUUUGGAAACCAACUUCAAAAGGUGGAAUGCCUUAUAAAAAUUUUUGGUAGUGUUUCUCUAAUAUGAUAACCUCAACACCACCAAAUAGUGCCAAGGUAACACGUGCACUUGACAGUAGCAAAAUGUCUGUGAGGACGUGUGUAAUUUUGUACUUGGGGAUGAAGUAUGUACUUUGACUUCCAAAAGUGUGUAAUCUUGGAUGAAGUUCUUCAUGCUCCAUUCUACUCGAUUCUGCAUGUGGCCCAUCUUGAUGGGACUGUUGCCUGCUUUGCUUCAGAUAUUUGGGGUCACUUCAAAAGAUACUAUAAAUUGCUGAUGAAGUAUGGAUGUGGGAGGAUUGAAUUUUUCGAGUUGACGAAAUAGUUGCAAAAGGAAAACAGUGCUCAGUAUCAACAUGGGAGAUAAAUGAGCACUAAAUGCCUAGUGUUCAUACAGAAACAUGGAAUAUUUACUGAAAUGAUAUUCUGAUUGAGAUUGGGAAACUGCCUAUGGAGCCCAUCAACAUGUGUUUGGUAGCUGAAUGAAUGGGACCAUGAUUUGCUUUGAAGUAAUGGAAGCCUUCAAAAUGCAAUUUUCAACUGUUGUCAGUGAGGCCUGUGUUCCUGAUGGUGAUGCUUCAUGCAUAUUGGGCAUUCUGAAUUUGAAGGCGAUUUGUAAAUUGUAAAUGGUGCUGCACUCCUCAGUGAAGGUGGUGGUUCAGGGCAGAUUGAGCAUUUUGAAUUUGUAGAUGUAAAGAGUGGCAAGUUUCUGCACGAGGGACACCAUUAUGAAAGCUUAACAGUGCAUCAGUUUCUUCAGUAAAGGACUUUGGACACCAACUUCAAAAGCUGCAAAGCCAUGUGAAAUUUGUGCACUAUGCAGCAACUAUCGACAACAACACCAAAUAGUACCUAGAUGCACUCAACACAGUAGCAAAAUCUCAGUGUACACGCAUGUGAUUAGUCCUAAGUGUGUGCUUUGGGAUGAAGUGUAUACUUCCACUUCCAAAAGUGUGUACUUUUGGAUGAAGUUCUUCAUACUCCAUUCUGCAUGAUUCUGUAUGUUGUUCAUCUUCAUGGGGCUGUUGCUUGCCUUACUUCAGAUAUAUGUGGUUACUGCAAAAGAUACUGUAAAUUGCUCAUGAAGUAUGGAUGUGGUCGAAUCAAAGAUGCGAGUUGACGAAAUAGUUGCAAAUAAAAAUGUUCAGUGCUCGGUAUAUCAACAUUGGAGAUGAAUUAACCCCAAUUGCCUUGUGUUCAUGAAGGAACAUUUAAAUAUUUUCUCUACUGAAAUGAUAUUCUGAUCCAGAUCUGCAAACUGCCUAUGGAGCUUCAACAUGUGUUGGGUGGUAGCUGAAUGAAUGGGACCAUGAUUUGCUUCAAGUAAUGGAAGCCUUCAAAAUGCAAUUUUCAAAUUUUGUCAGUGAGGCCUGUGUUCCUGAUGGUGAAGGUGAUGCUUCAUGCAUAUUGGGCAUUCUGAAUUUGAGGGUGAUUUGUAAAUUGUCUUAAAUGGCGCUGCACAAAUGGUGCUGCACUCCUAAGUGAAGGUGGUGGUUCUGAGCAGAUUGUGCAUUCUGAAUUUGAAGAUGUAAAGAGUGGCAAAUUUCUACACGAGGUGACACCAUUAUGAAAGCUUAACAACGCAUAAGUUUCUUCAGUAAAGAUUCUUGGGGUUCUCACAAAAGAGUUAACUGCAUUUGGCCUGGAUGUGCUUGUAUUGAAAUUUUCGAGUCGACGACUGAAUUGUAAAGCAAAAAUCUCAAUGCUUGGUACAUCAGCAUGGGAGAUAAAAUAUCACCGAGUUGCCAAGUGUCCAUCCAACAGUGAUAUUCUCUCAAGAGAUCUGCAUACUGCCUAUGGAGCAACAUCAAAAUGUUUGGUGGUAGCUGAAUGCAUGGCUGAUGGUUACCCCAUCUUGAAGGUGGAGAAACUGUAAUGUUGACAACCAUUGGCCGGCAUCCAUCUGAAGCGAGGCUCUUAUCAUCCAUCCAUCCAUCCAUCCAUAGUGAGGCUCUACCAGCGAGGCUCUACCACUAAGGAGCUUUAAUGGUGUUCAGUCUUCAAGUGUCCUCGUACUCGUCUUUGUCAAGUUUUCACUGGUCUCCUGGACUUUGGGGCCAUGAUUUGCUUCAAGUAAUGGAAGCCUUAAAAAGGCAAUUUUCAAAUGUUGUGAGUGAGGCCUGUGUUCCUGAUAGUGAAGGUGGUGUUUCAUGCGGACUGGGCAUUCUGAAUUUGAAGUUGAUGUGUAAAAUGUCAUAAAUGGUGCUGCAUUCUUCAAAGUGAAGGUGGUGGUUCUGAGCAGAUUAAGCAUUCUGAAUUUGAAGAUAAAAAGAAGCCAAAUUCAUGAGGAAGGUCUUCAUGAGGCAUUCUACAAUUUCAGUAAUGGAGUGGCAGAUUUCUGUACGAGGGACACCAUUAUGAAAGCUUAACAAUGCGUCAGUAUCUGUUAAGGUGAUUAUUAUUCUAAAAUAGAGGAUUUUUAGCACAAAGUUUUCUAUCAUGAUGAUGCUCUUCAAAGAGCUUUAUACGCAAUGAUGUAAUAACUGAUUAAAUACUUGCCCUCUCUGAUACAUGUUUAAAUAUGUUGUACUGUAUAUUGUAGUACAUGCAAUAGAAAAUUUACCGAUUAACUUAUAUUUUUAGGUUUUUGGAAAGCUUCAAUGUCUCAUGAAGUUUGUUGCUCCUGUUACUGAGUAACUAAUAGCUUCAACACCACCCAGUAGUGAUAGGAUAAGUGGCUCAACAGAAAAAUGUCUGUGCAGAUGUGUGAUAUUAGAGCCUUUACUGUGUUCUGUUGGAUGAAUUUGUAAAAGCAUUAAUGGCUUCUGUAUAUGGCAGAGCCGCUGCUUCACGUUGCAGUGGUUAUUGCCAGCUUUACUUCAGGUGAUUAUUGUAUUCAAUAUGUAGAAGCUGCUGUGAUGUUUUUGGGCUUUAUGUGCAAAGAUGUUCAGUAUCAUGCUCCAGUUUAAUAUGCCCCCUCUGAUUGUAAUUACAAUAAAAGGCAUAUUCAGUGAUGCAAUACUAAAUUCCCAUUUUUAAAAUUUUUGAAUUGACAACUGAAUUCCAAAGCUUUCUCUGUCUAAUAAUAAAUUGGCAAUAAAUGCCAAGCAUCCAUGGAAUCCAUCCAUGGAACAUCUAUUAUGGAACUUACUACAGAAGUGACGUUAUGAUUUUAAAUGUGUCGCGUGCCACUCUUGGUUGUGGAACAUGGGGUAUCUUAGUUUUGAUAAAUUUCAUUAGUGUUAUAUACUGUGUUUGUUAUAUUUGAUGUUAACUUAGUAAAGCCUUUCUGUAACUUGUAAGAAUACCAAUAUUGACUUGUUGUAGUUAGUUUAUCUUAAAUAAAGUUGUGGUCUGAA
rnacentral:lncRNA from 1 species